GAUGAACGCUGGCGGCGUGCUUAACACAUGCAAGUCGAACGGAAAGGCCCUGCUUUUGUGGGGUGCUCGAGUGGCGAACGGGUGAGUAACACGUGAGUAACCUGCCCUUGACUUUGGGAUAACUUCAGGAAACUGGGGCUAAUACCGGAUAGGAGCUCCUGCUGCAUGGUGGGGGUUGGAAAGUUUCGGCGGUUGGGGAUGGACUCGCGGCUUAUCAGCUUGUUGGUGGGGUAGUGGCUUACCAAGGCUUUGACGGGUAGCCGGCCUGAGAGGGUGACCGGCCACAUUGGGACUGAGAUACGGCCCAGACUCCUACGGGAGGCAGCAGUGGGGAAUAUUGCACAAUGGGCGGAAGCCUGAUGCAGCAACGCCGCGUGCGGGAUGACGGCCUUCGGGUUGUAAACCGCUUUCGCCUGUGACGAAGCGUGAGUGACGGUAAUGGGUAAAGAAGCACCGGCUAACUACGU
rnacentral:rRNA from 1 species